CUGCAACUCAGCCAACCAGCACAUCGGACAGUGGGAGGAGGAAUUCUUGGCUAAGAGUACUGAGAUUAUUUACCCCUCAAAACAACCCCCAAGGUGUCUACAACCAGUUCCACAAGUCUUGUACCAAUCCAUCCCUCCUCACUCAGGGUUUUUGCAUGUCUGACACCCAUGGCUCCACCUGGACUCAUCUGGAUCUGCCAACCCCAUUCCCGUGGCCCCACCCAGAAGUGAUUCAGCUUACAGGAGGACAGCUUCAGCUUCCCAUGAUUUUGUCUAUGCCCCAACCAAUCAAUAGCAAGCAUAGCCACAGCCACCCCUUUCCCAAACUGCCUUUGAGAAACCCCUAACCUAUGAACUUUGGACGAGAAUGAUUUGAGAAUUAACUCCAUCUCCCACCUGGCGUGGCUGGCCUUGUGUCUAUUAAACUCUUUCUCUACUAUAA
rnacentral:lncRNA from 10 species